rnacentral:rRNA from 1 species
AUUGAACGCUGGCGGCAGGCUUAACACAUGCAAGUCGAGCGAGCGGCGGACGGGUGAGUAAUGUCUGGGAAACUGCCUGAUGGAGGGGGAUAACUACUGGAAACUGUAGCUACUCCAGCAUACCAUCAGAUGUGCCCAGAUGGGAUUAGCUAGUGGGUGGGGUAAAGGCGGACCAAGGCGACGAUCCCUAACUGGUCUGAGAGGAUGACCAGCCACACUGGAACUGAGACACGGUCCAGACUCCUACGGGAGGCAGCAGUGGGGAAUAUUGCACAAUGGGCGCAAGCCUGAUGCAGCCAUGCCGCGUGUGUGAAGAAGGCCUUCGGGUUGUAAAGCACUUUCAGUGAGGAGGCGUUACUAGCAGAAGAAGCACCGGCUAACUCCGUGCCAGCAGCCGCGGUAAUUC